AAUCAGCGUGUUGUCUGAGUUGCGACCACGGACGCCUUCUGGGCCAGGAAUGUGUUGGACAGGAAGCUUCUUGUCCUCAAAGCUGAGGACCAUCUCAGCCAUCUCAUUCAUGCUGACCAUCUCAUCACUUCCAAUGUUUACUGGCUCACGGAAGUCGGAUUUUGUCAAUCUAAGAACCCCUUCAACACACUCAUCAAUGAAGGUGAAUGAACGUGUUUGAAGUCCAUCUCCCCACAUUUCAAACUUAUCCGUUGCAGUUUGUGCUUUUCUACAAAAAGCGGCAGGAGCUUUUUCCCUUCCACCUUUCCAGGUUCCAAAAGGUCCAUAGAUGUUAUGGAACCUUCCAAUACGACAUUCAAUUCCA
rnacentral:misc_RNA from 1 species